rfam:Opisthorchis viverrini opera_v5_113.9, whole genome shotgun sequence.
UCCACGGCCCUUUUUAGGGCCACCACAUAUUGAUCCCAUUCUUUGU